rnacentral:pre_miRNA from 1 species
UUGAAGGUUUUGGGCUGCGUGUCAGGAGUGCAUUUGCACUGAAAAUUUCUAAAAGCUUGUAAAUGCACUAUCUGGUACGACAUUCCAGAACGUACAAUC